rnacentral:sRNA from 1 species
ACCUGCUUCCUCUCCCGUGACCUCGCCGCCGACUCGCGAUUUUUGAUCAUUCGCUUCUGCCGCUGCAUCGCGGCGCGGUCCAUCGGAUCCAUCAGGUGCCUCUUCCUGCUCCUGCCGCCGGUGACGCCUCCGGUGACCUCUGCCCCGUUCAGGAACCCCAUCACCACCUGCCCCUUGGCCGCCGAGGGAUCGGUGACCACAGCCUCGUCUUCCUUCACCGCGCCCUCCCUCGCCAGAAAGUCCUCCAGCGUCAUCUCCGCGCCGGUGCCAGCGCCAGCGCCAGCGACGACGGCCGGGGCAGCAGCAGCAGCAGCAGCAGGGGGCACCACGCCGCCGGCGGCGGCGGCGACGCCCGCACCAGUUAUCUCCUUCCAGACCUCCUCCGCCGUCCGCGGCGCGGCGGCGACAUCCGGCGCCGGGAGCGGCGACAUCGGCCUGUCACCGCCGACGAGGGGCAGCGCCGGCGUCGGCAUGUCGGCGUAGAUGCCGCGGAGGAUCUCCUCCACGUUCAUCGACCCCAGCCCCGCGCUCCCGCCCCCACCCCUCCCCGCCGCGAACCGCGCGAGAUCCGAUGCCGUGUGCGACGGCGACGACGACGCCAUCACCCUCGACGCCAUCAUCCGCC